ACGUAGGGUGCGAGCGUUAAUCGGAAUUACUGGGCGUAAAGCGUGCGCAGGCGGUUCGUCGUGUCCGAUGUGAAAGCCCCGGGCUUAACCUGGGAACUGCGUUUGUAACUGGCAGACUGGAGUGUGGCAGAGGGGGGUGGAAUUCCAAGUGUAGCAGUGAAAUGCGUAGAUAUUUGGAGGAACACCGAUGGCGAAGGCAGCCCCCUGGGCUAACACUGACGCUCAUGCACGAAAGCGUGGGGAGCAAACAGGA
rnacentral:rRNA from 1 species